rnacentral:rRNA from 1 species
AUUGAACGCUGGCGGCAUGCCUUACACAUGCAAGUCGAACGGUAACAGGUCUUCGGAUGCUGACGAGUGGCGAACGGGUGAGUAAUACAUCGGAACGUGCCCGAUCGUGGGGGAUAACGCAGCGAAAGCUGUGCUAAUACCGCAUACGAUCUACGGAUGAAAGCGGGGGAUCGCAAGACCUCGCGCGGACGGAGCGGCCGAUGGCAGAUUAGGUAGUUGGUGGGAUAAAAGCUUACCAAGCCGACGAUCUGUAGCUGGUCUGAGAGGACGACCAGGCACACUUGGACUGAGACACGGCCCAGACUCCUACGGGAGGCAGCAGUGGGGAAGUUUGGACAAUGGGCGCAAGCCUGAUCCAGCCAUGCCGCGUGCAGGAUGAAGGCCUUCGGGUUGUAAACUGCUUUUGUACGGAACGAAAAAGCUCUCUCUAAUACAGGGGGUGAAUGACGGUACCGUAAGAAUAAGCACCGGCUAACUACGUGCCAGCAGCCGCGGUAAAAC